CCGAGUUCAUGCCCUUACGGGUAGAUCUCCCACCCUAUGUUAUAUUACCUUUGUUGCUUUGGCAGGCCGUCAGGCUUCGGUCAGGCUACCGGCUCCGGCUGGUAAGCGCCUGCCAGAGGACCCCAAACUCUGAAUAUUAGUGUUGUCUGAGUACUAUAAAAUAGUUA
rnacentral:misc_RNA from 1 species